GCUUACGGCCAUACCAGCCCGGUCUCGUCUGAUCUCGGAAGCUAAGAAGGCUUGGGCCUGGUUAGUACUUGGAUGGGAGACCUCCUGGGAAUACCAGGUGCUGUAAGCU
ensembl:rRNA 5S_rRNA 5S ribosomal RNA